GAUGAAGAACGCAGCGAAAUGCGAUACUUGGUGUGAAUUGCAGAAUCCCGUGAACCAUCGAGUCUUUGAACGCAAGUUGCGCCCGAAGCCAUUAGGCCGAGGGCACGCCUGCCUGGGCGUCACACGUCGUUGCCCCCCCAUCUACUCCUUCGGGAUUGCGGGGGGCGGAUGAUGGCCUCCCGUGCGCCUAGCCGCGCGGUUGGCAUAACAGCCAAGUCCUCGGCGACGCACGCCACGACAAUCGGUGGUUGCGAAACCUCGGUUGCCCGUCGUGUGCGGUCGUCGCGCAUCGAGGGCUCGAAAAAAUUGCCGGGCUCCGGCUCGGCUUUCAACGCGACCCCAGGUCAGGCGGGGUUACCCGCUGAAUUUAAGCAUAUCAAUAAGCGGAGGA
rnacentral:misc_RNA from 1 species